ensembl:antisense
GGCACGCCUUUAGUCCUAGCACUCGGGAGGCAGAGGCAGGCGGAUUUCUGAGUUCGAGGCCAGCCUGGUCUACAAAAUCGCGUGCUUUAGUUUGGCAAAGCAAGUGCAACAGGGAGCUUGGAAGAGAGAGCUGCAGGCAGGCAUGGCCUCUUUCAAGCCACAGGGCAACUAAGAGAGUCUGAGUUCCAACCAGAAACGGAGACACCUGUUCCCUUCUGUUUCAUGGCCGAGUCCUCAGAACUGAAACAUUCGUGGAGGAGAAGGGAGAAGCCUGAGACAGGCAGAGCACAAACCUCACGUCUGGGAAAGCUGAAACCUGCUGAGUUACAGAAACUUCCUCUACUGAACUAUGAAAGCAGGAAUCACCACUGGAAGAGUUGACUGGCCGGGCAAGCUACAGAGGGAUCGCUGAGACCCGCGGAGCUGCACGUUCUGCAGACAGCUGUAGCUUCCAUGAACUGUCACCCGCCCUGGGAAGGGCUUCUUGGUGAUGCAGCUGCUUUUGGGGCAUCCCUGGAAGUAACCCCUCA